AUCAUUUAAAGCUCUUGUUUCUUUGAAGAUGUUGUGUUUAGAAUACCUAUUGAGUGUAGAAAGCGCUAGAUUGAAGUCACCAAGUAUAAGUGUAUUAUUAUCGAAGUAUGUCUUAACUUUGGUUAUUAAUUGAUUGAUAUAUUUGGCAACUCCCACAUUCGGGGCAUUUAUAUUGAGGAUUGUUAAGUCCUCUUGUUGGAUAGAUUCUUUAAGUAUGAUAUAGUGUCCCUCUUCAUCUCUCACUACAGUCUUCGGGAUAAACUUUAGUUUAUCUGAUAUAAGGAUGGCUACCCCUGCUUUCUUUUGAGGACCAUUUGAAUGGUAAAUGGUUCUCCAACCUUUUAUUUUCAGGCUGUAGGUGUCCUUCUGUCUAAAAUGAGUCUCUUGUAGACAGCAAAUAGAUGGGUCCUGCUUUUUUAUCCAGUCUGAAACCCUGCGCCUUUUGAUGGGGUCAUUAAGCCCGUUCACGUUCAGAGUUACUAUUGAAAGAUAUGAGUUUAGUGUCAUCAUGAUACCUAUUCAGUCCCUGUUUCUGGGGAUUGUUCCAUUGGACUUCUUCUUAAAGAGGAAUUUUAAGAGUCCCCCUUCAAAUUUCUUGCAGAGCUGGUUUGGUGGUCACAUAUUCUUUCAGUUCCUGCCUGUCUUGGAAGCUCUUUAUCUCUUCUUCUAUUCUGAAUGAAAGCCUUGCUGGAUAAAGUAUUCUUGGCUGCAUGUUCUUCUCAUUUAGGACCCUGAAUAUAUCCUGCCAGCCCUUUCUGGCCUGCCAGGUCUCUGUGGAGAGGUCUGCUGUUAAUUGAUAUUUCUCCCCAUAUAAGUUAGGGAUCUCUUGUCUCUUGCUGCUUUAAGGAUCUUCUCUUUAUCUUUGGAAGUUGCAAGCUUCACUAUUAAAUGUUGACCUGUUGAACGGUUUUUAUUGAUUUUAGGGGGGGAUCUCUCUAUUUCCUGGAUCUGAAUGCCUGUUUCCCUUCCCAGAAUAGGAAAGUUCUCAGCUAGGAUUUGUUCAAAUACGUAUUCUGGCCCUCUGUCCCUUUCGGUGCCCUCAGGAACCCCAAUUAAACAUAGAUUUUUCUUCCUCAGGCUGUCACUUAUUUCCCUUAAUCUAUCCUCAUGAUAUUUUAAUUGUUUGUCUCUUUUUUCCCUCAGUUUCCCUCUUUGCCAUCAACUUGUCUUCUAUGUCACUCACUUGUUCUUGUAUCUCGUUAACCCUCAUCGUUAAGACCUCUAGUUUGGAUUGCACCUCAUUCAAUUGAUUUUUAAUUUCUGCCUGAUUGGAUCUAAAUUCUGCAGUCAUGAAGUCUCUUGAGUCCUUUAUGCUUUUUUCUAGAGCCAUCAGUAGCUUUAUAAUAGUUCUUCUGACUUGGCUUUCUGACAUUGAAUUGUAAUCCAAAUUUUGUAACUCUGUGGUUCUGAUUCUUUCUUUUGAUGUGAGGUUUUCCUUCUAGUCAUUUUGCUCAGUGCAGAGUGGCCUAAAACAAGUUGUAUUGGGAAAAGGAGAUAAAGAGAGAAGAGAAAGGAG
rnacentral:lncRNA from 1 species